AAUUAUUCAAGUUCAUUGUCCCCUUGGGAUGGCCUAGUGGUUGGGGUGGUUGCCUGUUGUCCAAGAGGUCACAGGUUCGAGUACUCUCGGCCGUACUCUCGGCCACAAUAACCACUAGGUGGGGUGUGUGUGUGGUUUGUAUUAUUUAUAAUGUAAUUUCAUCAAAAAAAAAUUAUUCAAGUUCAUUUGGACACUGAUUUAUUUAAUUAAAUUCUUCACUAAUUGUUUCUUUACAAGUGUUGUUAUAGGCACACGAUUGU
rnacentral:lncRNA from 1 species